rnacentral:tRNA from 1 species
UGGCUCAGUGGUAGAGCGCUUGCCUUGCACGCAUGAGGCCCUGGGUUUGAUUCCUCAG